AUUGAACGCUGGCGGCAGGCCUAACACAUGCAAGUCGAACGAGUGGCGGACGGGUGAGCAAUGUCUGGGAAACUGCCCGAUGGCGGGGGAUAUCUACUGGAAACGGUAGCUAAUACCGCAUACCAUCGGAUGUGCCCAGAUGGGGUUGGCUAGUAGGUGGGGAAACGACUCACCUAGACGACCAUCCCUUGCUGGUCUGAGAGGUUGACCAGCCACAAUGAACAUAAGACACGGUCCGGUCUCCUAGGGGAGACAGCAGUGAGGAAUAUGGCCCAAAGGGCGCAAGCCUGAUGCAGCAAUGCCGCGUGAAUGAAGAAGGCCUUCGGGUUGUAAGGUACUUUCGGCAAUGAGGCGUUACUCGCAGAAGAAGCACCAGCUAACUCCGUGCCAGCAGCCGCGGUAAUAC
rnacentral:rRNA from 1 species